CCUACGGGUGGCAGCAGUGGGGGAUAUUGCACAAUGGGGGGAACCCUGAUGCAGCGACGCCGCGUGGGUGAAGAAGGGCCUCGGCGCGGAAAGCCCUGUCAGCAGGGAAGAAAAAGACGGUACCUGAAGAAGAAGACCCGGCUAACGACGGGCCAGCAGCCGCGGGAAUCCGUAGGGGGCAAGCGUUCGCCGGAGUUCCGGGGUGUCAAGGGGGCGAAGCCGGCGCUGCAAGGCAGGAGGGAAAGCCCGGGGCCCACCCCCGGGACUGCUCUUGGACCUGCGUGGCUGGAGUGCAGGAGGGGCAGUCGUACUUCCUGUUGUAGCGGUGAACUGCGUAGAUAUCAGGAGGACCACCGGUGGCGAAGGCGUCCUGCUGGACUGCAACUGACGUUGAGGCCCGAAAGCGUGGGGAGCACACAGGAUUAGAUACCCGGGUAGUC
rnacentral:rRNA from 1 species